CAAGAGAAAAUCUGAUCCUCAGACUUCUCUCGUUCCAUUUUUAUUACCAACUUGCUGUGUAAGGUAUUUCUCAGCAAUCUGGCCCGUUUUCCCCUUUAUUUGAUAAAGGUACUGCUCUUGACAUGUUCAUAGGAACAAGUAGGGAAAAAAAAACACCUCACGUACUCAGCUGGACAAUGAUUUUUUAGUAUUGUCAUGAACUUCAUACUGCACAGCCGAUUUCUCUAAGUACAUGUAUUCCGGCUAAUUUGAGAUCCUGCCCAAAUGUUCAGUGCAAUAAUUGAGUUUUUUGUUAGAGACAGAGAAAAAAAGAAUGAAAUGUACACACAACAGCUAUCUAAAUGAGCAGAUAUUCCAUGACAACAACAUUUCAAUAAACUAAUUUUUGAAAGAAACUGUUAAAGCUGUAUUCUUCUGCAGAUCAAAAAAUGGAGUUCUGAACUGAAAGUAGUUCAGUUAUAAGUUUGACUUCUCUAAAUGUACAUUAGUGCUUAAAUCAGUCAUUGAUUUUUGCUUAGAGAAGGGGGACAUGCAUUCAGUUUUCUGUUACUUUUUAACUUUAAGAAAACUGAAAAGCAUCCUUCUUUCCAUGAACUUAUACAAAAUGGGCCAGAAACAAGUCAUUGUUUUUCUUAGGAUUGUGUCACCUGAGUGAGAAAGAAAUCCUCAAACCUCUUAUAUACGGUAAGUGAGUAACAAGAUCAAAUUAAACAGUGUCACACAUGAGGCUCUGGGGAACAAAUUAAGGUCAGCACACCUGUGAACAAUUGACUUAAAGAGGGCGCAGAGGGGUGCAGUUGGCCACAACUUUCCCAAACCAAUAUAAGCUUUGGAGGGCAGGAGGUGGAUGUUUUGUUGCUUUCAAAGGCUUCUUUGAUGGGCUCCCUUUUAGGAAAUAAGAAGAUGCUGAGAGGCAAGGAGAUUAGGAGUGCUUCCUUCAUGACUGUGUUUAAUUUUCUUGGUUGGGUUGCGGUGUCACCAUCCAUCUUUAAUCAAUCAUUUGUAUUUGAGGAAUAUGAAGAGGUACAGGGGAAAUUUUAGUUUCUACAUCAUAUGCCAAAAUAAUUUUCUAUUAAGAUGUGGACAUCAAGGGGAAGCAAAUUAUGUGGUAAGAGAACCAUCAUUCCUAACUUCCUUCUUUCUCUGAUUUUCUGAUCAUGAGUUAGACUGGAGGUCCUGCAGGCCAGGGGCGCUGGCACUAGACUAUUAUUUCAGCAAAAUCCCCGUGAAGUAUUUGCCUGGCUUGGGAGAAGAGAAUAUAACUUGCCUGUGUAAGCAAAUAAAGGAAUCAUAACUCAUUUGAAAUCUUGACACUCAGUUAGUGAUGUUUCUCUUGUGCACUGUUGCCUCUGUGUGGCAGCUGAAAUACGUGGAGAGAUGAUUAAACCCCCGCUAUGGUGUUGCCAUAUAUAGAUGUCUGAUUUUUGCCAUUUGUAUCUCCUCUCACUAUUCAACCCCUGCAGGGAUUUCUUAGAGGAAACUUUUCUGUAGCAGAAACAGCAAGAGCACCUUGUGGCUGGUGCUGCAGUGGUGGAACGUGGCUGCUUGUGGUGCUGCUCCCAGGGUGCUCGCCUGGUACGUCUGAGCAAUUAUUUCUUGAUCUAUUGCGAAUUCUACAUUAAGGAAGGAAUCUGGGAUCUAAAGACAGAGUGGGUAGAUAGUUCUGUGUUCAGCUCGGUGUAUUUCAUGCCAUAAAAAGGAAGAAGAAAAUGGAUAACGAUACCAUCCUCCUCAUUUUCUGUUCUGUCCGUUCUUCACUGGCACGUAACUGACAGCUUUCAAAACUUUUCUUACAUGUGCAUGCAUGUUAGUAUCUUUGACUUUAAAUUGUUAAUAUGAAUGUGAGGAAUUUUUGCCUUUGACAGACAAAAGAAUGUAAUUCCUACUAAAGUAUUUCUGUGAAUGUUUCUGUCAGUUUUGUAGGACUUACUCUCUGACCACAAAUCGCAGCCUCUUUGUGUUAUGGACUUCUGACACAUACCUGGGAAAGACAGAAUCAACUCCAACAGCUCUUAAAAAGCUUUAUUCUGAGAAUGAAAAAGCACUCCUCAGGUGGCAUUCCUGCAGAACAUAACAUGCAUUGCCAGAACGGCAGCUUUCUGUGGAGAGACGUACAAUGAAGCUUCAAUAACAUACGAGUACACUUAUGGUUGCAUGUGGUGCAAGUGUUAUAUUUAUGCCUGGUCACCAUGGUGUUUAUACAGAAUUAUAAACUUCCUUUAAAAAAAGUAAAUUGAAAAAUUAAACAAGCUAGGAGUAUUUCCCAGGGUUUUAAUUCCCAGAUUUCCCCAAGUCUUUCACAACAGGUUUUUGGUUUUGGUUUGUUUCCACCCUCCACCCCCCCGGCUCUUUAUCAAGCUAUGAUUUUGUUGUGUUCCUCUAUCAAACCAAAGCCUAUAAUCUGCAACAUGCAUUGGCAAGUUGCCACCCACAGCAGAUGGACUUGAGCAUGCUUCUGCCAAGGAGCCAGCAUGUGCACCAAGCUCUGCGCGUGUGGCAUCCUUUUCCUAACCAGAAUGUCAAAACAGCUGUCUGUGAAGGACUUCUGCAUCUAUACUAACAAGAUCUGCCAGGAGUCCUGUAAUUUGGAGCGUGGUUUGAGUAGUCUGAGCAGUUUUAAUGUGCCCAGAGCUGGAGUGAUGGUCUCUGAGCUCUGUGUGGUUUAUAUCAGUUUAUAGGAGAAUAAUCCUGAUGGGUGAUGAGGGUUUGUGUGUGAUGCACGUUCACCUAGCUGUGUUCAUACAGGUGCUAAAGAAGCAAGGUGGGGGAGUCAGAUCUGGUUUGCUUGCCAUUUUAGAGUGGUUGCAGAAGUUUCUGACUCUGUCAAACGGAAUGUAAAAAUCCACGUGUAGAAAAACAAUGUAACCUAAGGGUGCUGUUAAUCUUUGAUUAAGAAUGCAUCAAGGAAUGAAGGCUAGUCCAUUAAACUAGAGUAGUUUUGCUAUGAUUCUAAUGUAAAUCAAUGUCAGAAAAGUAAACAUAUUAGCAGCAACUAAGCAGUUUCACCAAGAUCAAGCCAAGACUUGAGAGAUGUCCUCCUCAUUCUCUUGGGUUUGCAAUAGUUUUACUUAUUCCUCAUACAAAAUUAAUCAGUAACAUUGGAAAUAAUUCAGCUCUAGACUAAAAAAAAUAACUCCUUUUGAGACCCCCCUGGUGUCUACAUAGAACUCAUAGAAAAACACCGAACUAGGUAAUUAUGUACAAGAGGCAAACAAUGAAAAACCACAGUAAUAAAGCAGGAUUUGUUUUUUUCUUUCCUGACAGUUCUUAAUUAUUGACGCUUUCUACAACAACUGCUCAAAACUACAGGGAAGAGUACAACUCUUAAGUCAGGAAUACUCUUUAAAUUUUUGCAGCUUAUUAUGUGUGGCUUUUAACAAUUAGAAGUGCAUCACAUCCAGACAGCUGUCCCUAUGUGCCUCUGCCUUCAUCUUUGAAGGUAGGAGGCAGAUACCUGCUGUGGGAGCCUGAAACCACAGACCCCAGGCUUCACAAGAAAAGUUCCUGCUUCCCCUCCUGUUUUAGGGAAAGAUGUUUACAUGUGGAAGGUCCUUAUUUUGUUCUCUUUUUUUCUUUUAUCAGAGUAUUUCUAGCAGCUUCCCUUCCGUUCCAAUGCUACAGUAUGCUCAGACAUAGCUGGGCUGAGGCUCCAAACAGCCAGUGCCUUUGACUGGGCACAAAGGAAGUGGUUUCCAUGGUGACUGCAACCCCAGAAAGGUCCCAAACCAGCACUUCCACCUGCCUGAGGAUUCUUUUUAAUUUAGGAGUUUGCACAUUGGCUUUGUAGAGAGAAUUGGGUUCUGUCUUAGGGCUUUAUUCACAACAUAAGUUGCUUACAGGAAUAAUGUAAUUUUUGCAUACGAAUUUAUACUUCAGACUGACUGGCUUACAGGAAAGACUGACUUAUGUAGUGACAGUGGAUGCUGUAGUAGCAUGUGGUGGGAUUCAAGAAGGACAUACAACGCUUAAGCUAUAAAAAUUAAAACACUGCAUGGGAGGGAAAAAAAUCUGCCUAGAGAAGAAUUAGUUUGAUCCUAUGUCUAUGUUAGAAAUUGAGAUAGGGAAGCUGCCAAACUUGCAUAGAUCUUUGGGUUUUACUAGGUUUGUUAACUCUUCAGAUGAAACAGGUAAAGGGAAGACCCUUGCACAAGGAAAUACUAAGAAGAGGUGUGGUGACUGUGUUAACCUGGAGGCCAAGCUCCACUACCCAAAGGGAUGGUGCUUUCAUAAAGAAAGGCUCAGAUCCGCUUCUGGGGUGACACGGAGCAGCCCAGGGCAGUUUUUGGAUGGUUGGUUUGAGAUGGUUGUGGAUUUAGCAGAGCUUGGCUCCCUUCACCCCCCAUGUAGGCUGGGGUGCCCCAUGGCUGCUGCUCACCUGGGGCUGCCCACAGGGUCUCUAAGCUGCUUUUCAGAGUGUAGGAAGAUAAAAGGAAACCCUGCUGCUGGUUACUGGGGGGGAGUGAAGCUUGCUACAAAAAACAUCUGCCAUUGGAAGUGUUGGAAAGCGGCUAAAGUGAAGGUCUGUUCUUGUGGUGCUGUGCCACUGCUAUAGGUGCCAUGUUGGCCUGACAGAGCUCCCCCGAGAUGCACACAGGCUGGCAUUUGGAUAAACCGAGGGACAGUCCUCCAUCUUCAACACCUCUGUGAUCAGCAAAGACACAAACUAAAAGAUACAUGAAUGCCGUAGUGGCAGGCUGCUAGACUAGACUGUCAGGAGACUGACCCUUAACAGCCAUUUUAUUGCAAUGUGCAAAUGCAGUGUAAAGCCCAAACAUGUUUACUCAGCUCUUGGCUUUCAAAUAUCAUCAAAAAUAGCCACAUGUGAAAGGAACUGAGCUUGUGCCUGCUGUCCAGGCUGCUGUAGAAAUGCAGGGCUGACUCCUUCAGAAGAAAUAGCUGUGCCACACAGGUGACACCAAUUACCCCCAGCCCAGGACCUGCUGAGCAGGAGGAAAUUGCAAAGAGCUCCAGCAAUAAGGAGCUGGAGCUGGGGCAGCCUGAGGUACGUGACCUGAGGGAGAAGAGGUGAAGGAAAUAACAUUUGGACUCCAAAUACAAGUGGAAGCAGCCCAUUAGUUGCAUGGGUAGCAAAGCCUGGCUGAGUAAAACUCUCUCCAUGGUUGUAAGCUAGACCUAGAAGACAAAGGUGAGGACUGAAAUCAAUGUUUCUUGAUGAGACAGAUGUUCCUCAAAGGACUGUGGUGCUGAGAAUUUCUGCUCAUCAGAACAAAACAAAAAACUUCAGAAUUUUCAGAUCUGAUAUGCAACAAAUCUCCACUGAAAUGGAACUUCUAAUUUCCAUUUGUGGUCUGGAUUUCCAAAUCUGUUCUCAUUUUUUGUGUGAUCAAACCUAACCCCCAUGGAAGCUUGAUCUACAGCAUAGCAACUGCUUCAAGAAAUCCUCCAACCAAGGGAUGUGAUCAGAAGUUUCCUGGGGUCAUUCACUUGAACAAGGAUUGUUUUAGGACUACUGGAUGCAAUUACUGGCCCCUGCACGCUCACCUCCUGUGUACAAAAUGGCAGAAAAUGAGAUGAACCCAAGCAAAGCCCAGCAGCUCCGAAUUCCAGCCUCUUCCAGAAUUUACCCCUCUCCAGCUGCUGACAGAGGGUGUGAAUAAAACGACAAGGAGAACUACCUAUGGGGAAAAUGGCCUCCUUUUACUAUCAUUAACAGUAUUGAAAAGUCUAUUGGGGCUAAUAUGGGAUCUUUUGGAAAUCUUUCUUGGAACACAAGCUGAUUUUUAAAAUAUUGCUUUAGUGAUGGGAAUACUCAAUUUCUUAUAAAAUUAUUGACAUUUUUUCCAUGGGAUACUGAAACUCAAUAUCUGGUGUUCAAAUGCAGCAAGGGUCAAUAGGCAGUAGACAUUGCUAUAUUCUCAGUCGCUGAAUAUUUGCAUAGCACAGGUAUUAUCAAACUGGCCUCCUUGGUAUCGGGAGGAAGGCAAGAGCCGCAGGCAGCAGAGGAGGCGAACGUUGACUAAGGCAGUGGCAGGGACUCUUUGCCAAUAAAUGGAUUAACUGUA